rnacentral:misc_RNA from 1 species
GAUGAAGAACGCAGUGAAAUGCGAUAAGUAAUGUGAAUUGCAGAAUUCAGUGAAUCAUCGAAUCUUUGAACGCACAUUGCGCCUUCUGGUAUUCCGGGGGGCAUGCCUGUCCGAGCGUCAUUACAACCCUCAAGCUCAGCUUGGUGUUGGGCCCCGCCGCCCCGGCGGGCCCUAAAGUCAGUGGCGGUGCCGUCCGGCUCCGAGCGUAGUAAUUCUUCUCGCUCUGGAGGUCCGGUCGUGUGCUCGCCAGCAACCCCCAAUUUUUUUCAGGUUGACCUCGGAUCAGGUAGGGAUACCCGCUGAACUUAAGCAUAUCAAUAAGCGGAGGA